rnacentral:rRNA from 1 species
AACGAACGCUGGCGGCAUGCCUAACAUAUGCAAGUCGAACGAGACCUUCGGGUCUAGUGGCGCACGGGUGCGUAACACGUGGGAACCUGCCCUUAGGUUCGGAAUAACUCCCCGAAAGGGGUGCUAAUACCGGAUAAUGUCUUCGGACCAAAGAUUUAUCGCCUUUGGAUGGGCCCGCGUUGGAUUAGCUAGUUGGUAGGGUAAAAGCCUACCAAGGCGACGAUCCAUAGCUGGUCUGAGAGGAUGAUCAGCCACACUGGGACUGAGACACGGCCCAGACUCCUACGGGAGGCAGCAGUGGGGAAUAUUGGACAAUGGGCGAAAGCCUGAUCCAGCAAUGCCGCGUGAGUGAUGAAGGCCUUAGGGUUGUAAAGCUCUUUUACCCGGGAUGAUAAUGACAGUACCGGGAGAAUAAGCUCCGGCUAACUCCGUG